rnacentral:rRNA from 1 species
GACGAACGCUGGCGGCGUGCCUAACACAUGCAAGUCAAGGAGAAUUCCCGACUUGUCGGGAUAGUAAACUGGCGAACGGGUGAGUAACACGUAGGUAAUCUACCCUCGGGAUCGGGAUAACCUCGCGAAAGUGGGGAUAAUACCGAAUAAAGUCUCGGUAUAAUUUGUCGAGAUGAAAGAUGGGGAUCUUCGGACCUAUUACCUGAGGAUGAGCCUGCGCCUGAUUAGCUAGUUGGUAGGGUAAAUGCCUACCAAGGCAACGAUCAGUAGCUGGUCUGUAGAGGAUGAUCAGCCACAUUGGGACUGAGAUACGGCCCAGACUCCUACGGGAGGCAGCAGUGAGGAAUUUUGCGCAAUGGGCGAAAGCCUGACGCAGCAACGCCGCGUGACUGAUUAAGCUCUGAGGAGUGUAAAAGUCUGUCGUAGAGGAAGAAACUAUCCGAUAAGAAUAUUGUCGGAUACUGACGGUACUCUAUGAGAAAGCUCCGGCUAACUCCG